rnacentral:rRNA from 1 species
AUUAUAAAAAUAAUUUUUAAUUUUAGUAUAUUUUAGAAAUAAUUAAUGAAAUUAUAGAGAAUUUGUAUUGUAAAAGAUUUUAUUAUAUUUAAAAAAAAGAAUAUUUUAAUUAUAGUAUCUUGUGUAUCAGAGUUUAUUAAUAAUUAAUUAAAAAUUUAUUAAUCUCGAAAUUUUAGGAAAUAAAUUUAUUUAUUUAUAAAUAUUUUAUAAUUUAAUAAUAAAUAAAUUUAGAAAUGAUAAGUUAAUCGUUUAAUAUAAUAUCUAGAAAUUUUAGAAUUUAAUUAAAUUAAUUAAAAUUUAAAUUAUUAAAUAAUUUAAAUUUAAUAAUUUAAAUUUUAUAAAAUUAAUAGGGAUAAUUUUAUUAAUUAAUUUAUAUGUUUAAUAAAUAAGAUUGUAAGUAGAAUUAAAAUUAUUUAUCAAAAAAUUUUUUAUAAAUUAAUUUUUAAAAAAUAAAAAUUUAUUAAUAUUAUUAAAUAUUUUAUAAAAUUAAAAUAAUAAAUUUUAAGUUAUUUAAAAAAAUGAUAAAAUUAGUAAAUUAUUAAUUUAUUAAUAAAUUAAAAAAAAAAAUUAAAUUUAUGAAUUAGACAGUAUUAUUUUUACCUGUUUAUUAAAAACAUGUUUAUUUGUAUUAAAUAAAUAAUUUAAUCUGCCCAUUGAAUAAUUAAAAGGCUGCAGUAUAUUAACUGUACAAAGGUAGCGUAAUCAUUAGUUUUUUAAUUGAAAACUUGUAUGAAAGAUUGGAUAAAAAUAAAUUUUAUUAAUUUAAUAAAUUGAAAUUUUUAUUUAAAUGAAAAAAUUUAAAUAUUUGAAAAAGACGAUAAGACCCUAUAAAACUUAAUUUUUAAAUUUAUGAUUUAUAAGAUUUAAAAAUUUAAUUGGGGAAAUAUUAAAAUAAAAUUAAUUUUUAAUUUAAUAAAUUUUUAUUAAAAAUAUUAAAGAUCUUUUUUUAAAGGAUAAAAGAAAAAGUUGCUUUAGGGAUAACAGCAUAAUUUUUUUUUAUAGUUCUUAUAAAAAAUAAAGAUUGUGACCUCGAUGUUGGAUUUAAAUAAAAUAAAAGGUGAAGUAGUUUUUUAUUAGAAUCUGUUCGAUUUUUUAUUUAACAUGAUCUGAGUUAAAA